CACUGCAUAAAAACCAACACUGCCACUGCACGAACAUAAAGGAGGACACAAAAAAAAUGCAGAGCUUGCAAAGUUGUUUCCACGUCUUUGAACACGGCAAACCUGCUGACUGGAGUUUGCAUGUUCUCCCUGUGUUCAGGGAUCUGUUUUCUUCUGGCUUCCUCCCACAGACCAAAGACAAGCAGGAGGCCACCACGCUGACCUUUAUGAACAGAGCCUCGCAUUUAUACCAACAAACAAAAACUAUCCCAUUGACACCAUCCCAGUAAACUGCAGAGAAUAAACGUAAAGCUUUGCAAAAAGG